AACGCACCUUGCGCUCCUUGGUAUUCCGAGGAGCAUGCCUGUUUGAGUGUCAUUAAUAUAAUCAACCUCUUCAGCUUUUGCUUGCCGAGUGUUGGAUGUGGGGGUAUUUUUGCUGGCCUCUCUGAGGUCAGCUCCCCUGAAAUGUAUUAGCGGAAUAAUUUGUGAACCGUUCAUUGGUGUGAUAACUAUCUACGCUAUUGACGUGAAGCAAUUCUGCUUCUAACAGUCCAUUGACUUGGACAAAUUUCAUUAAACAUGACCUCAAAUCAGGUAGGACUACCCGCUGAACUUAA
rnacentral:misc_RNA from 1 species